rnacentral:tRNA from 1 species
GCAUUGGUGGUUUAGUGAUAGAAUUCUCGCGUCCCAUACAGGAGACCUGGGUCCGAUUCCCGGCCAACGCA